ACUCGAGUGGCGAACGGGUGAGUAACGCGUGGGUGAUCUGCCCUGCACUUCGGGAUAAGCUUGGGAAACUGGGUCUAAUACCGGAUAGGAGCCAUCUUUAGUGUGGUGGUUGGAAAGUUUUUCGGUGUAGGAUGAGCUCGCGGCCUAUCAGCUUGUUGGUGGGGUAAUGGCCUACCAAGGCGGCGACGGGUAGCCGGCCUGAGAGGGUGUACGGCCACAUUGGGACUGAGAUACGGCCCAG
rnacentral:rRNA from 1 species